rnacentral:lncRNA from 1 species
AGUGGGGUCUCGACUUACGAACAGCCCGAGUUACGUACUUUUUGACUUACGGACCGCUCUGAAAGGAAAAUAUUUCCUCAACAUACGAACUUUACUUCGAGUUACGGAAGGGGCUAAUGAGGCUAGAAGCAGCGGAAAAGCUCGACCUUCCUUUUGCUUUCUGUUCCCAGCGGGUUGUGUGGAACGCGAAGGAGGAGGAAAAGAAGCAGCGCAGGGAGGGAAGGAGGAGGAGGCCAGGCGCCGCUGUCUAGAUGUGGCCUGGGAGGGGUGCACCCCUUUCCUGUGCUUCACUCGCCCCCUCCCCCUAGAAGCAGAGCCCGGGAGGCGAGUGGUCACCACUUACACCCCUGCUCGUCCAGCUGUCGCUUCUCCAUGCUUGGGCAGGCCCUACCCGCACAGCCACACCCCACCCCUGCUGUCUGCUCUCUCCCCUCACCUGCUCCUGCAGUGGCAGUGGGGCAGAGGCCCUCCCAGGGGGCUCCUCUCCCUCCGCUCCCACGUGCUUUGCCUCUCUGCUGGUCUUCUUCCCCAGACUGGCUCCCCUCCCCCCGCUCCAACAAGCUUUGCCUUUCUGCUCCCGGCAAGGAAUCUGGCCGCCGCCAUUGCAGGGAGCCCCUUUCACUCCAUGGCCACCCAUGCCUUGCCUGACUUUCCUCCCCUCCCCUGCCGUCUCUUCUCUCUCCCCUCACCUGCACCCGGCAAGGAAUCUGGCCGCUGCCACCACCGAGUGCUGGAGCAAAGUCCCUGCGGCAGCCAGAUCCAAACUGAGGCAAGAGACCAGCUCAAAGGUAAGAGAGACUGGCACGGGGGAGUGAGACGGAAGGACCGAGACUGGGAGGACUUUUCUAGGCAGAGAGAAAUGUGGUGUUUGUUCUGGAAGGCAGGCAUUUUUGUGCUGGAGGAAUGGUUGCUGAAUUCUGUGCCUUGCUGUGUGUGUGUGUGUGGGGGGGGAUUAAGGCUUGGUUUGUUUGAAAAAGUGCUUUGCAAACUGUUCUGUUGUCUGAAAGGUGCUUGAUUUAAAAGGUGUUCCCUCCCUCCUUUGCUUGCCCCUUUUUUCCCAAAAGAUGCUUGGUUUGGAUGAAAAGGUUGGCUGAAUAGUGCUUUGCAAACUGUUCUGUUGUCUGAAAGGUGCUUGAUUUAAAAGGUGUUCCCUCCCUCCUUUGCUGCUGCUUUUUUCCCCAAAAGUGCUUGGCUUGGCUUGGUUUGGCUGAAAAGGCUGGCUGAAAGGUGCUUUGCAAACUGUUCCCUGCCUCCCCCCUCCUUUCCUGAACUUUUCUUGACCUCAGGGGGGGAAAAAAAGAAAAAAAUAUCCCCCUCUAGUGGUAGAAGGCGGAAUAGCAGCUUCCCAUUAGUUUCUAUGGACAGAAAAGAGCAGAUACGGAUUAAAUGGUUUCAAUGCAUUCCUAGGGGAAAUGCAGAUUCGACCUACGAACUUUUCGACCUGCAGACCGCCUUCCAAUACGGAUUAAUUACUUAAGUCGAGACCCCAUUGUAUGGCUUNNNNNNNNNNNNNNNNNNNNNNNNNNNNNNNN